rnacentral:lncRNA from 1 species
UCUCUAUCCAACGGUGACAAUCACUGCAUCUAUCCCUCAAUCCACCGGCGUUCUGCCCCGUACGCUCCACAUACCUCCUCACUCAACUACUCUCUUCUUCCCAUCUCUGACCUUGCUGAAACAACAACAACAUGCUCCCUACAUCCCAGUUCCCUUCUCCCUUGAUUCUCAGUUUCAGAUUAACUCAAUUAUUGUCCUUAGAUUCUGAUCUGCAAUUUUUGUUUUCAACCACUUUGCC